GAGUUUGAUCCUGGCUCAGGACGAACGCUGGCGGCGCGCUUAACACAUGCAAGUCGAGCGAGAACCUAGGCUUCGGCCUAGGGGACAGCGGCGAACGGGUGAGUAACACGUGGGUAAUCUGCCCUCGACAUCGGGAUAGCCCGGGGAAACCCGGAUUAAUACCGAAUAGCCCAUCCGCUUUUCGGAGCGGCUGGAAAAGGUAGCUUUGGCCUCUGGUCGAGGAGGAGCCCGCGGCGGAUUAGCUUGUUGGUGAGGUAAUGGCCCACCAAGGCGACGAUCCGUAGCUGGUCGGAGAGGACGAUCAGCCACACUGGGACUGAGACACGGCCCAGACUCCUACGGGAGGCAGCAGUGGGGAAUCUUGCGCAAUGGGCGAAAGCCUGACGCAGCGACGCCGCGUGCGGGAAGAAGGCC
rnacentral:rRNA from 1 species